rnacentral:lncRNA from 1 species
UGGGACUCCCUGGCCUUCCAAAAAUCAUCACAUUUGUUACCUGGUAACCACAUUUUACAACAGAAAAGAUGAAGAAAAUAUGGGAGGUGAUGAGAGCAGAGAAAUGUAUGACAUGAGGUCUACUUUUCUUGCUUGGCUGUCAAAUUCUGGGAAGAUUGGAGGAUUGAUGAUAUACUGCACUUCUAUUGGUUGUACCAGUAGGCUGCGAGAACUUUCAAUUUUGAGACACGGGAUAAUCGCCAAACCUUUCAAAUGUUCGUCUAGAGAAAAUAUAAGUUUCUUGCAGACUUCUCCUUCUUCCUUUCUUCAAGAAAUACAGACAUAUGUUCCACUUAUAAAACAAAGAUGGACUUACUUCACAAAAACCUCCUCUCAGAUUCCAUGAAUGCCCAAUUUCGCAGGACCCAGCAACAAUCCCCUUCAAGGAUGAGUAUGGCCUGGUGUGAUUUUCCUUCAGUGGAUAUCACAUGUUUUGCUCCACGAAAGUUUCAUCAGCACUGAUACUUGGGAUAAUCGGUUGUCGCUGGAGAAUCGCAGGGAAUCUCAAGUUGGUAGGUGCGUUACAUCUCGCAAGAAUUUUGCUUGUCGAAUUCAAAACCACUCACUGAAGCAGAGAUUCAAAACCAGAAGGCAUGACCACAAGUUGUCCUUCAUUACACAAGCAGAGAUUAAAACAAGCUUUCUGAACAUUUACCCUCUAUGCAUGCAUGCAGCUGAGAUAUGUACCUGUAAUAUUUAUGAUGGCCACCUUAAUGUCAUGGCAUCAAAACCAUAGAGUCAAGCCUCACCAAUCGUCUCCAGAUGGGUGCAGGUGUUGAUAGGAUGCUGGUUAUAGUUGUGUAAAGCUGCUGAAGCUUAGCAAUCAGAACAACUAAUUGCCGGCAUGGUGGAAUUAUGAGGGUGAAAGGUAUGAUGCAGAUACCCAAUUGCAAUAUGAACAUCUCACAAACUCUUCCUGCUUGAGAUUUAGCAGCUGCAGGAUUCAAUAAUUCUUUGCCAACGGUCUGUUAUAUUUAUAACCUUCUUGUUUCCAAGAGCUGAUACAUCCUAGGAUGCUUUUACUUAUU